rnacentral:misc_RNA from 1 species
GAUGAAGAACGUAGCGAAAUGCGAUAAGUAAUGUGAAUUGCAGAUUUCAGUGAAUCAUCGAAUCUUUGAACGCACCUUGCGCCUUGUGGUAUUCCACAAGGCAUGCCCGUUUGAGUAUCAUUAAAUCAUCAACUCUAAAACCUUUGUGGUUUUUUUAGAGCUUGGUCUUGAGGGUUUUGCAGGCUUUUUUUUUCGAGUCUGCUCCCUUUAAAUGCAUUAGCGAGACUUCCCUAUGCUGAACCGUCUCUUUGACGUGAUAAUUAUCUGCGUCGAAUUUUGGUUCUCGUUGGGCUUGCUUCUAAUCGUCUGUUAAAGACAAAACGGAUUUGGGUGCAUAUAUGCGCCUUUUUCCAAAACCUUUUUUGAUCUCAAAUCGGGUAGGACUACCCGCUGAACUUAAGCAUAUCAAUAAGCGGAGGA